rnacentral:rRNA from 1 species
CCCUAAAAGCUUUAUAUUUAUAUUUUAAAAAUAAGUAAUUUUAUUAAAUUUUAAAAUUAAAAUAUAAUUAACUGGGGUAGUUAUUUUAGUUAAAUUAAUAUGAAUUUAAACAAAUUAAUGGUAAUUGUUCCUUUAUAUAAGGGAAUAUAUAGAUAGUUACUUUAGGGAUAACAGCAUAAUAUUUUUGGAGAGAUCUUAUUGAUAGAAAUGAUUGUGACCUCGAUGUUGAAUUAAAAAAACUUUAUAAAGCAGCAU